rnacentral:rRNA from 1 species
AACGAACGCUGGCGGCAUGCCUAACACAUGCAAGUCGAACGAGACCUCCGGGUCUAGUGGCGCACGGGGGCGUAACGCGUGGGAACCUGCACUUAGGUUCCGGAUAACUCCCCUAAAGGGGUGCUAAUACCGGAAAAUGUCUUCGGACCAAAGAUUUAUCGCCUUUGGAUGGGCGCGCGUUGGCUUAGCCAGUUGGUAGGGUAAAAGCCUACCAAGGCGACGAUCCAUAGCUGGUCUGAGAGGAUGAUCAGCCACACUGGGGCUGAGACACGGCCCAGACUCCUACGGGAGGGAGCAGUGGGGAAUAUUGGACAAUGGGCGAAAUCCAGAUCCAGCAAGGCCGGGUGAGUGAUGAAGGCCUUAGGGAUGUAAAGCUCUUUUACCCGGGAUGAUAAUGACGGUACCGGGAGAAUAAGCUCCGGCUAACUCCGUG